GAACGCUGGCGGCGUGCCUAACACAUGCAAGUCGAACGGAGUGAAGGAGCUUGCUCUUUCAUUUAGUGGCGCACGGGUGAGUAACGCGUAGAUAAUCUGCCUUGGACUCUGGGAUAACAUCUCGAAAGGGGUGCUAAUACCGGAUAAGCCCAGAUGGCGUAAGUCAUUGCGGGAAAAGGGGGCCUCUGAAUAUGCUCCUGAUUCAAGAUGAGUCUGCGUACCAUUAGCUAGUUGGUAGGGUAAGAGCCUACCAAGGCGACGAUGGUUAGCUGGUCUGAGAGGAUGAUCAGCCACACUGGAACUGAGACACGGUCCAGACUCCUACGGGAGGCAGCAGUGGGGAAUUUUGCGCAAUGGGGGAAACCCUGACGCAGCAACGCCGCGUGAGUGAUGAAGGCUUUCGGGUCGUAAAGCUCUGUCUAGAGGGAAGAAAUGAUAGUCGGUUAAUACCCGGUUUUCUUGACGGUACCUCUGAAGGAAGCACCGGCUAACUCCGUGCCAGCAGCCGCGGUAAUACGGAGGGUGCAAGCGUUGUUCGGAUUUAUUGGGCGUAAAGCGCGUGUAGGCGGUUUGUUAAGU
rnacentral:rRNA from 1 species